rnacentral:misc_RNA from 1 species
GGCUGCGCCACACGCGUCACGCAGCCCGCGAGAGAUAACUUCGCGAGUGUAGUGCAAAUGCUUGUGUUUAUAUGGCGCUCAUGUUACUGCGAGUGUUGUUGCUGGGAGUGGUCGCGGCGGCUGCCGACGAUGUACCGAUAACAUGGUGGUCAGGGGGGCGCGCGUCGCUGCCGUGCGUGGCGCCGCUGGCGGAGCGCCUGCAGCCCCGUAGGCCUCCGCCCCCGCUCGCCGCGGAGGACACGCCCCCUGCCAAGCCGUACCUUUGGAAGCGAGGUGAUGAGGAGAUUAGUUCAAAACGGGUAUCGGCGUCAGGGGCGCUGGAGGUGUCUCGUCGCCGGGAGGAGGGGUCCCGGCGGAGGGACGGGGAGGGUGUGUACCAGUGUCAAGUGCGGCACCACGGAGGCAUCGUGCUGGGAUAUCCCACACACCUAAAGUUUGCUUCAAUGGAGAAGCAGUUCUCAGUCCACCCUGCUAACACGACAGCCGCGAGUGGACAGCCGGUCGUCCUGUCCUGUGCCAUCAUCUCCGCGCCGCCUGCAGUCGUUUCCUGGCUGAAAGACGAUCAGCCUUUACCUGAUGAUGAAAGAUACUAUGUUCUGCAAAGCCAGCUGCUUAUUACGGAUGUGACAAGCGAAGACGCAGGAGCAUACAGAUGUGUAGCAACAAAUAUACAAAUGAACAAGAGCCGGACAAGUCACACAGGCACCUUGGAGGUGUCCACCUCUGGAGAUGAAGACCUGGAGGUGUCCUUGCUUCCAGUGACCCAGGAGACCAAUAUUCUGGCUGCUAGAGGCAGCAGGGUCGUGCUGCCUUGCCCCGUUGUCGGCUGGCCUAGACCUAGGCUGGUGUGGCAGCUGACUCCUCCUGGACAGAGGGAGAGUGAGCUGGACGUGACGCAGGAAGUGUUCGUGAUCCACAGUCUGCAGUCCGACCAGGAGGGGAACUACACCUGCUCCGUCGAGGGAAGUCCACACUUGGCUAAGAUGUUCACUGUAACCCUGACAGAGCCCGCGGAGAUCAUGAUACCUCCGUCAUCGAAGGAGGCUCUUCGGGCGAGCACCGUCCGGUUCAACUGCACGGCGGUUGGGAGACCAGCGCCCACGGUCACCUGGUACAAGGAUGGGCAGCCGCUGCAGAUGGCUGGAAGGAACAACUUAAGGAAGUCGACAGAUGGCCAACGUACCGAGUUGGUGAUCAGUGGAGUCACUUCCGAUGAUGCAGGAGUAUACCAAUGCUUCGCCCAUAACGCCAUAUCAGUGGCCUCGUCAUGGGCCAUGCUGAAUGUGACGGGGGUGGACGCCGCUGCCCCCACCAACGUGCAGUGCUGGCCCGUCGGGGACCGCAAGGUCAAAGUCACUUGGCAAAGACCCGUGGUAGGGGAGGUCGUCGCUUACACCGUCCACGGGACGCCUGAAGAGGACAAAGCUGACUCUCUACCUGGUCAUCCACUUACCAAAACUGAAGAAAUCGUCACGGUUGAUAAACCCCUGAUCCCUUACCGAUUUCAAGUCCGAGCGUACAGUCGUCUCACAGCCUUCAUCAAGAAUGUUGCCAGUGAUCUAUCGAAAGGUGCCAUUUGUCAAGGACAAGGAGUGCCGAUAAGACUAGCGAAGUUGGAGGAGGGUGGCGUGGUGGUGUCGUGGAAGCAGUUCGCGGAAGACAACCCUGGAGUGAUGCAGUGGAUCUUGCAGUACAAAAACGAGGGGGGCACGGAGCACAAUGUCACCCUGGACGGAUCUGUCUACAACUAUACUUUGGAUGUGUCUCCAUCAUCACCGAUGCUGGUGCGCGUGCUGGGCUCCCGCACGGCGACAUGGCUGCGUCAGGACCUGACGAUGGUGCCCUGGGCGUCCACCGCAGCUGCUGCGGCUGACCUCGACGCAGGAGAUGUGAUAGCAAUCCCUCAAGACAUCGAACCGACACACAUCGGCCCAAGAGAAUUCACGGUGACGUGGCGUUGCGAUGAAGCUGAUGAGAGAUACACGUACGUGGCCUGUGCUAGGAGUGAGGGCGCAGACCAGUGUCAAGACAGUGAUAUGAAGACAGCGACAUUCAAAGGGUUGGAGCCAGGGACGGAUUAUGAAGUGAGGGUCCAAGCACGAGAGGCACAUCGCGCCUUGGGAGGAGCCUUCAGCGCGCCCUAUGUCCUCAUGACCACAAAUGAAACUCCACAACGCUUCAAAGAAUUCUCCGGUCAUUUCGUGAACUCUUCAACUCUGAGGGUGUCGUGGAACGGCGCUCCAGCCAAGUACACCGUCCAUUACAGCGCUCAACUCAAGUUGCCGGUCGAGAAGUGGGCUUCAUUGGAGACUUCGAGCAAUACUGUGCUGAUCCCCGGAAUAGACCCAACGGAGACGACAUACCUGAUGGUCUUCGGAUACAACCCUGAAGAGCACAGCAGGAUUGAAACCAUUCCACCUCUGUACAAGGACUUGGAAGCCAAGGAUCUUCGGUACGAGUAUACCUCAUCAGGCGUGCGGGUGUGGUGGCAGGGCGUGGGCCCCCGCGUGGUCAGCUACGCGCAGAACAUCACGCGCCCCCUCGAGCAGUGGCGCACUGUCAACGUUACUGCUGACAGCAUUGAGAUCGAGGGUCUGGACCCCUCGUUACCUACGUACGUGAUGGUGACCUCCAACCGCCGCUCCCCUGCUCGCAGCAGCCAAGUCCUCAACAUCGCGCCACGACCGCCGAGUGACUCCAAUAUUUAUUUGGUGAUCGGCAUUGUGUUGGGCGUGUGUGUGCUCUGCGCGCUUGCCCUAGCAGCCGUCUGCUUGUGGCGGAAGAGGAAGCGGGCGCGGUCUCCUGUUAGAUCUCGGCGUAGGAAUACGGCUACCGCUGAGGGGAAUACUGAAGAAGAGUCAGAAAUGAAGUGGUUAUGACAACAGAGCGUGGGCGGCGCGCGCGGCGGCAGGCUCGCCAACGGCGGCGCCGGCGCAGGCGAGCCGCUGCUCAACGGACACGUCCACAUCACUGAGAACCCCACUUCAAAAACACCAAACGGCA